rnacentral:rRNA from 1 species
AGCGGCGGACGGGUUAGUAACGCGUGGGAAUAUACCCUUCACUACGGAAUAGCCUCGGGAAACUGGGAGUAAUACCGUAUACGCCCUUUGGGGGAAAGAUUUAUCGGUGAAGGAUUAGCCCGCGUCUGAUUAGAUAGUUGGUGGGGUAAUGGCCUACCAAGUCUACGAUCAGUAGCUGGUUUGAGAGGAUGAUCAGCAACACUGGGACUGAGACACGGCCCAGACUCCUACGGGAGGCAGCAGUGGGGAAUCUUAGACAAUGGGCGCAAGCCUGAUCUAGCCAUGCCGCGUGAGUGACGAAGGCCUUAGGGUCGUAAAGCUCUUUCGCCAGAGAUGAUAAUGACAGUAUCUGGUAAAGAAACCCCGGCUAACUCCGUGCCAGCAGCCGCGGUAAUACGGAGGGGGUUAGCGUUGUUCGGAAUUACUGGGCGUAAAGCGCACGUAGGCGGAUUGGAAAGUAUGGGGUGAAAUCCCAGGGCUCAACCCUGGAACGGCCUUGUAAACUCCCAGUCUAGAGUUCGAGAGAGGUGAGUGGAAUUCCAAGUGUAGAGGUGAAAUUCGUAGAUAUUUGGAGGAACACCAGUGGCGAAGGCGGCUCACUGGCUCGAUACUGACGCUGAGGUGCGAAAGUGUGGGGAGCAAACAGGAUUAGAUACCCUGGUAGUCCACACCGUAAACGAUGAAUGCCAGACGUCAGGGGGCUUGCCCUUUGGUGUCACACCUAACGGAUUAAGCAUUCCGCCUGGGG